AGAGAUCCAGAGCCUUUUUUGUGCCACCUUGGCUAUUAAGCCAAAAAAAAAAAAAAGCACAAGGAGAAAAAAAUUCGAACUAAAUUGAUAAUCCCAAGGGCAAGUCCCCGUCUCCUGUAGGAAUCGA
rnacentral:rRNA from 11 species